rnacentral:rRNA from 1 species
UGAACGCUGGCGGUAUGCUUAACACAUGCAAGUCGAACGGAAACGAUACUAGCUUGCUAGUAGGCGUCGAGUGGCGGACGGGUGAGUAACGCGUAGGAAUCUACCUGAUAGUGGGGGAUAGCCCGAAGAAAUUCGGAUUAAUACCGCAUAAUCUAUUCGUAGUAAAGUGGGGGACUUUCGAGCCUCACGCUAUCAGAUGAGCCUGCGUAAGAUUAGCUAGUUGGUAGGGUAAAAGCCUACCAAGGCUACGAUCUUUAGCUGGUCUGAGAGGAUGAUCAGCCACAUCGGGACUGAGACACGGCCCGAACUCCUACGGGAGGCAGCAGUGGGGAAUAUUGGACAAUGGGGGCAACCCUGAUCCAGCAAUACCGCGUGUGUGAAGAAGGCCUGAGGGUUGUAAAGCACUUUCAAUUGUGAAGAAAAGCUAGUGGUUAAUAGCCAUUAGCCUUGACGUUAACUUUAGAAGAAGCACCGGCUAACUCCGUGCCAGCAGCCGCGGUAAUACGGAGGGUGCAAGCGUUAAUCGGAAUUACUGGGCGUAAAGCGUGCGUAGGCGGUUUAUUAAGUCAGAUGUGAAAGCCCCGGGCUUAACCUGGGAACUGCAUUUGAAACUGGUCAACUAGAGUAUGGUAGAGGAAAGUGGAAUUUCUGGUGUAGCGGUGAAAUGCGUAGAUAUCAGAAAGGAACAUCAAUGGCGAAGGCAACUUUCUGGACCAAUACUGACGCUGAGGUACGAAAGCGUGGGUAGCAAACAGGAUUAGAUACCCUGGUAGUCCACGCCGUAAACGAUGAUAACUAGCCGUUGGGGGGAUUUACCCCUUAGUGGCGAAGCUAACGCGUUAAGUUAUCCGCCUGGGGAGUACGGCCGCAAGGUUAAAACUCAAAGGAAUUGACGGGGACCCGCACAAGCGGUGGAGCAUGUGGUUUAAUUCGAUGCAACGCGAAGAACCUUACCUGGUCUUGACAUCCUGAGAACUUUCUAGAAAUAGAUUGGUGCCUUCGGGAACUCAGUGACAGGUGCUGCAUGGCUGUCGUCAGCUCGUGUCGUGAGAUGUUGGGUUAAGUCCCGUAACGAGCGCAACCCCUAUCCUUAUUUGCCAGCACAUCAUGGUGGGAACCAUAAGGAGACUGCCGGUGAUAAACCGGAGGAAGGCGGGGACGACGUCAAGUCAUCAUGGCCCUUAUGACCAGGGCUACACACGUGCUACAAUGGAGCGUACAGAGGGUUGCUAAGCCGCGAGGUGGAGCCAAUCCCAGAAAACGUUUCGUAGUCCGGAUCGAAGUCUGCAACUCGACUUCGUGAAGUCGGAAUCGCUAGUAAUCGCGAAUCAGCAUGUCGCGGUGAAUACGUUCCCGGGCCUUGUACACACCGC